GUCUUAAUUGGGCGUUAAGUUGCAGGGUAUAGACCCGAAACCCGGUGAUCUAGCCAUGGGCAGGUUGAAGGUUGGGUAACACUAACUGGAGGACCGAACCGACUAAUGUUGAAAAAUUAGCGGAUGACCUGUGGCUGGGGGUGAAAGGCCAAUCAAACCGGGAGAUAGCUGGUUCUCCCCGAAAGCUAUUUAGGUAGCGCCUCGUGAAUUCAUCUCCGGGGGUAGAGCACUGUUUCGGCUAGGGGGCCAUCCCGGCUUACCAACCCGAUGCAAACUGCGAAUACCGGAGAAUGUUAUCACGGGAGACACACGGCGGGUGCUAACGUCCGUCGUGAAGAGGGAAACAACCCAGACCGCCAGCUAAGGUCCCAAAGUCAUGGUUAAGUGGGAAACGAUGUGGGAAGGCCCAGACAGCCAGGAUGUUGGCUUAGAAGCAGCCAUCAUUUAAAGAAAGCGUAAUAGCUCACUGGUCGAGUCGGCCUGCGCGGAAGAUGUAACGGGGCUAAACCAUGCACCGAAGCUGCGGCAGCGACGCUUAUGCGUUGUUGGGUAGGGGAGCGUUCUGUAAGCCUGCGAAGGUGGCCUGUGAGGGUUGCUGGAGGUAUCAGAAGUGCGAAUGCUGACAUAAGUAACGAUAAAGCGGGUGAAAAGCCCGCUCGCCGGAAGACCAAGGGUUCCUGUCCAACGUUAAUCGGGGCAGGGUGAGUCGACCCCUAAGGCGAGGCCGAAAGGCGUAGUCGAUGGGAAACGGGUUAAUAUUCCCGUACUUGGUGUUACUGCGAAGGGGGGACGGAGAAGGCUAUGUUGGCCGGGCGACGGUUGUCCCGGUUUAAGCGUGUAGGUGUGUGUUCCAGGUAAAUCCGGUUCACUUUAACACUGAGGCGUGACGACGAGGCACUACGGUGCUGAAGCAACAAAUGCCCUGCUUCCAGGAAAAGCCUCUAAGCAUCAGGUAACAUCAAAUCGUACCCCAAACCGACACAGGUGGUCAGGUAGAGAAUACCAAGGCGCUUGAGAGAACUCGGGUGAAGGAACUAGGCAAAAUGGUGCCGUAACUUCGGGAGAAGGCACGCUGACACGUAGGUGAAGUGAUUUACUCAUGGAGCUGAAGUCAGUCGAAGAUACCAGCUGGCUGCAACUGUUUAUUAAAAACACAGCACUGUGCAAACACGAAAGUGGACGUAUACGGUGUGACGCCUGCCCGGUGCCGGAAGGUUAAUUGAUGGGGUCAGCGCAAGCGAAGCUCCUGAUCGAAGCCCCGGUAAACGGCGGCCGUAACUAUAACGGUCCUAAGGUAGCGAAAUUCCUUGUCGGGUAAGUUCCGACCUGCACGAAUGGCGUAAUGAUGGCCAGGCUGUCUCCACCCGAGACUCAGUGAAAUUGAACUCGCUGUGAAGAUGCAGUGUACCCGCGGCAAGACGGAAAGACCCCGUGAACCUUUACUAUAGCUUGACACUGAACAUUGAGCCUUGAUGUGUAGGAUAGGUGGGAGGCUUUGAAGUGUGGACGCCAGUCUGCAUGGAGCCGACCUUGAAAUACCACCCUUUAAUGUUUGAUGUUCUAACGUGGACCCGUUACCCGGGUUGCGGACAGUGUCUGGUGGGUAGUUUGACUGGGGCGGUCUCCUCCUAAAGAGUAACGGAGGAGCACGAAGGUUGGCUAAUCCUGGUCGGACAUCAGGAGGUUAGUGCAAUGGCAUAAGCCAGCUUGACUGCGAGCGUGACGGCGCGAGCAGGUGCGAAAGCAGGUCAUAGUGAUCCGGUGGUUCUGAAUGGAAGGGCCAUCGCUCAACGGAUAAAAGGUACUCCGGGGAUAACAGGCUGAUACCGCCCAAGAGUUCAUAUCGACGGCGGUGUUUGGCACCUCGAUGUCGGCUCAUCACAUCCUGGGGCUGAAGUAGGUCCCAAGGGUAUGGCUGUUCGCCAUUUAAAGUGGUACGCGAGCUGGGUUUAGAACGUCGUGAGACAGUUCGGUCCCUAUCUGCCGUGGGCGCUGGAGAACUGAGGGGGGCUGCUCCUAGUACGAGAGGACCGGAGUGGACGCAUCACUGGUGUUCGGGUUGUCAUGCCAAUGGCACUGCCCGGUAGCUAAAUGCGGAAGAGAUAAGUGCUGAAAGCAUCUAAGCACGAAACUUGCCCCGAG
rnacentral:rRNA from 1 species